UACGUAGGUGGCAAGCGUUGUCCGGAUUUACUGGGCGUAAAGAGCGCGCAGGCGGUCGAUUAAGUCGAGUGUGAAAGCCCCCGGCUCAACUGGGGAGGGUCACUUGAUACUGGUCGACUCGAAGGCGGGAGAGGGAAGUGGAAUUCCCGGUGUAGUGGUGAAAUGCGUAGAUAUCGGGAGGAACACCAGUGGCGAAGGCGACUUCCUGGCCCGUUCUUGACGCUGAGGCGCGAAAGCUAGGGGAGCAAACGGG
rnacentral:rRNA from 1 species